UAGGGAAUAUUGGACAAUGGGGGCAACCCUGAUCCAGCCAUGCCGCGUGAGUGAAGAAGGCCCUCGGGUUGUAAAGCUCUUUUGUCCGGAAAGAAAAGCAUUCGGUGAAUACCCGGAUGUUCUGACGGUACCGGAAGAAUAAGCACCGGCUAACUUCGUGCCAGCAGCCGCGGUAAUACGAAGGGUGCAAGCGUUACUCGGAAUUACUGGGCGUAAAGCGUGCGUAGGUGGUUGUUUAAGUCUGAUGUGAAAGCCCUGGGCUCAACCUGGGUAUGGCAUUGGAAACUGGGCAGCUAGAGUGCGGUAGAGGGUAGUGGAAUUCCCGGUGUAGCAGUGAAAUGCGUAGAGAUCGGGAGGAACAUCUGUCGCGAAGGCGACUGCCUGGACCAGCACUGACACUGAGGCACGAAAGCGUGGGGAGCAAACA
rnacentral:rRNA from 1 species